UACGAGGGGUGCAAGCGUUGCUCGGAAUUAUUGGGCGUAAAGGGUAGGUAGGUGGUCUUAUUUGUCUGGGGUGAAAUCCUUGAGCUUAACUCAAGAAGUGCCCCAGAAACGGUGAGACUAGAGUCUUGGAGAGGGUCGUGGAAUUCCCGGUGUAGUGGUGAAAUGCGUAGAGAUCGGGAGGAACACCCGUGGCGAAGGCGGCUCACUGGGCUGACCUUGACGCUGAGGCGCGAAGGCGUGGGGAGCGAACAGG
rnacentral:rRNA from 1 species